rnacentral:rRNA from 1 species
UACGUAGGGUGCGAGCGUUGUCCGGAAUUAUUGGGCGUAAAGAGCUUGUAGGCGGUUUGUCGCGUCUGCUGUGAAAAUCCGGGGCUCAACCCCGGACUUGCAGUGGGUACGGGCAGACUAGAGUGUGGUAGGGGAGACUGGAAUUCCUGGUGUAGCGGUGGAAUGCGCAGAUAUCAGGAAGAACACCAAUGGCGAAGGCAGCUCUCUGGGACGGUACUGGACGGCUGAAGACGCGAAAGCGUGGGGAGCGAACAGG